GCUGGGCAUGGUGGCUCAUGCCUGUAAUCCCAGCUACUCAGGAGGCUGAGGCAGGAGAAUCGCUUGAACCCGGGAGGCAGAGGUUGCAGUGAGCCGGGAUUGUGCCACUGCACUCCAGCCUGGGUGACAGAGCCAGACUCUGUCUCAA
rnacentral:SRP_RNA from 1 species